ACUCCUCCUGUGCUCGUGCAUCNCGAUCGAUGAAGAACGCAGCGAAAUGCGAUAAGUAAUGUGAAUUGCAGAAUUCAGUGAAUCAUCGAAUCUUUGAACGCACAUUGCGCCCCUUGGUAUUCCGAGGGGCAUGCCUGUUCGAGCGUCAUUAUAACCACUCAAGCCUAGCUUGGUAUUGGGGUUCGCGUGUUCGCGGCCCUUAAAAUCAGUGGCGGUGCCGUCUGGCUCUAAGCGUAGUAAUUUCUCUCGCUAUAGGGUUCCGGUGGUUACUUGCCAAAACCCCCCAUUUUCUAGGUUGACCUCGGAUCAGGUAGGGAUACCCGCUGAACUUAA
rnacentral:rRNA from 1 species